GUAGGGAAUAUUGGGCAAUGGUCGGAAGACUGACCCAGCCAUGCCGCGUGCAGGGAGACGGCCCUCUGGGUUGUAAACUGCUUUUAUCUGGGAAGAAAAAGGCCAUGCGUGGCAAAUUGCCGGUACCAGAUGAAUAAGCACCGGCUAACUCCGUGCCAGCAGCCGCGGUAAUACGGAGGGUGCAAGCGUUGUCCGGAUUUAUUGGGUUUAAAGGGUGCGUAGGAGGUUGAUUAAGUCAGCGGUGAAAGACUCCGGCUUAACCGGAGCAGUGCCGUUGAUACUGGUUAGCUUGAGUGUUGGAGGGGUACAUGGAAUUGAUGGUGUAGCGGUGAAAUGCAUAGAUACCAUCAGGAACACCGAUAGCGAAGGCAUUGUACUGGCCAACAACUGACGCUGAUGCACGAAAGUGUGGGGAUCGAACAGGAUUAGAUACCCGAGUAGUCC
rnacentral:rRNA from 1 species